rnacentral:rRNA from 1 species
UACAGAGGGUGCAAGCGUUGUUCGGAAUUACUGGGCGUAAAGGGCUCGUAGGCGGCCAACUAAGUCGGACGUGAAAUCCCUCAGCUUAACUGGGGAACUGCGUCCGAUACUGGAUGGCUUGGAUUUGGGAGAGGGAUGCGGAAUUCCAGGUGUAGCGGUGAAAUGCGUAGAUAUCUGGAGGAACACCGGUGGCGAAGGCGGCAUCCUGGACCAAUAUUGACGCUGAGGAGCGAAAGCCAGGGGAGCAAACGGG